UUUGUUUAAAGGAUGGCAUAGAACAAUUGGUCAUUGGAUAAAAUCCGUUUGUUUCAGUCUUUAAAAUCAAGUCAUACUUGUACAUAAAUGGCAAACAAGGCUUUCCGAGUACGGGUAAUGGUGAUCAGAGGCAGCAAGACAUGAACAAACGAAUAAAACGUGGAUAAAAUAAACAUGCACGCCUAGCAUUUGUUCUGUUCUUUCAAAAUUCACUUAAUAUAAAUAUAACUCAACACAAACUCAAUUCAACUGUUACCGAUGAAGAUACCUCAAGUAGCAGCAUAGCUUGACAAAAAUGCUGAUAGGCACAACAACUUAAGCAGGUAAACAAAGCAAAGGAAACACAACCUUCAGGAGCAAACAUGAGAAGCAAGAUAAUUAGAAUGGCUGGUGGCAAACAACUUCUAGACUGACAAAAGUUUACUCAUAGAUCCAUUGG